AGAGUUUGAUCCUGGCUCAGAUUGAACGCUGGCGGAAUGCUUUACACAUGCAAGUCGAGCGGCAGCGCGGGGGCAACCCUGGCGGCGAGCGGCGGACGGGUGAGUAAUACAUCGGAACGUACCCUGUCGUGGGGGAUAACGAGUCGAAAGAUUCGCUAAUACCGCAUACGACCUGAGGGUGAAAGCGGGGGAUCGCAAGACCUCGCGCGAUAGGAGCGGCCGAUGUCGGAUUAGCUAGUUGGUGAGGUAAAGGCUCACCAAGGCGACGAUCCGUAGCUGGUCUGAGAGGAUGAUCAGCCACACUGGGACUGAGACACGGCCCAGACUCCUACGGGAGGCAGCAGUGGGGAAUUUUGGACAAUGGGGGCAACCCUGAUCCAGCCAUUCCGCGUGAGUGAAGAAGGCCUUCGGGUUGUAAAGCUCUUUCGGCAGGAACGAAACGGUCGUCUCUAACAUAGAUGGCUAAUGACGGUACCUGAAGAAGAAGCACCGGCUAACUACGUGCCAGCAGCCGCGGUAAUACGUAGGGUGCGAGCGUUAAUCGGAAUUACUGGGCGUAAAGCGUGCGCAGGCGGUUUCGUAAGACAGAUGUGAAAUCCCCGGGCUUAACCUGGGAACUGCGUUUGUGACUGCGAGACUUGAGUGCGGCAGAGGGGGGUGGAAUUCCACGUGUAGCAGUGAAAUGCGUAGAGAUGUGGAGGAACACCGAUGGCGAAGGCAGCCCCCUGGGUCGACACUGACGCUCAUGCACGAAAGCGUGGGUAGCAAACAGGAUUAGAUACCCUGGUAGUCCACGCCCU
rnacentral:rRNA from 1 species